rnacentral:rRNA from 1 species
UACGGAGGGAGCUAGCGUUGUUCGGAAUUACUGGGCGUAAAGCGCACGUAGGCGGCUUUGUAAGUUAGAGGUGAAAGCCCGGGGCUCAACCCCGGAAUUGCCUUUAAGACUGCAUCGCUUGAAUCCGGGAGAGGUGAGUGGAAUUCCGAGUGUAGAGGUGAAAUUCGUAGAUAUUCGGAAGAACACCAGUGGCGAAGGCGGCUCACUGGACCGGUAUUGACGCUAAGGUGCGAAAGCGUGGGGAGCAAACAGG